rnacentral:rRNA from 1 species
UACCAGCACCCCGAGUGGUCGGGACGUUUUAUUGGGCCUAAAGCAUCCGUAGCCGGUUCUACAAGUCUUCCGUUAAAUCCACCUGCUUAACAGAUGGGCUGCGGAAGAUACUAUAGAGCUAGGAGGCGGGAGAGGCAAGCGGUACUCGAUGGGUAGGGGUAAAAUCCGUUGAUCCAUUGAAGACCACCAGUGGCGAAGGCGGCUUGCCAGAACGCGCUCGACGGUGAGGGAGUGAAAGCUCGGGGGAGCCAACCGG